GGCUUGGCAUGCAGUGUCGAUGUAACAGGGUCUUCUACCUGAAGGAUCUCCUGUGUGUUCCAUGCAGAACGUCCUGUGAUGAUGGGUUUUACAUGACAGAGCAGUGUAGCAUGGAGACAGAUGUCGUGUGCAAACCUUGCAGCCAUUGCAGUGGUAGUUCUUAUGAGGCUGCUGCAUGUACCACCACCCAGGACACCA